rnacentral:misc_RNA from 1 species
CGGUUAACAUGGCCGCGCUCGUUGGACGCUGCUGCUAAUGGCUUGAGUCGGUCAUGGCCGCCGCUGCCGUUGUGGAGCAAAGGUAUCACGCUACAUACACGUUACGGUGUGCGCACGUGCUCGGAUGGUGCGCCGCUUGGCGAUACCCCUACCGCCUUUCUUCUUUUUCCCUUUUACAAUGCUGCCCUUUGCCAGGGUAAUGCGCAAGGCCGCCUCGGCCACGCCGCCGCUGCCCCCUCCACCACCGCGAGUGUUGGUCUUGACAAUGAUUCCCAACGGCGGCGCGCUUAGCCCCGCUCUCCGCAUGCUCGGCUAUCACCCCUACACCUUUGAGGACAGCGUACGCAAGGGCCGCCUGCUGACUCAUCCGCAGGAGUGGAUGGCGGUCAUGCGUGGGGAGAAGAAGUUCGACUUUGAGGUGCUCAAAGCUCCUCAGCAUACGGCAUCCACGGAGGCGGUGCCGUCGUCGUCGGGUGACCCUUGCGCGUCAAGGACGCCAGAGUGUGCGACGGCUAGCACGGCGCCGUCUGCGUCUCCACGGGCUCCGCUCUUCUUUGACUCGUUGGUCGGCCCCCCCGCCACCGUCGCCUUCGAGUCCAUCCUCAAGGAGUGCCCACGCAGCACACGCGUCAUUCUCGUGGAGGAGCCGGACAAGCUGGCGUGGGAGAAGGACAUGGAGCAGUGGCUCCAGCCGUUGGUGCGGGAGUGCAAGAAGAGCGCAAUGUGGUGGAACGCGUCGAAGCUGCACAUGAUGCUGCUUGACAUGGUCGACCUGCGCCGUGCCCUCAUCAGCCCCAUCAACCAGCGGGGUGGCCGUGCACGCCCGUUGCCGUCCUCGUUCGCUGCCAUGACGGCGCAGAACGUGCCCAUCUCGAAGCAGCACUCGACACUUCGCCUCUCUGGGGCCCUCGACUUGUUCGAGCAACACGUAAAGGAGGUGGUCCCGCGCGACCGGCUGCUCGUGUACAGGGUGCGCGAUGGGUGGCAGCCGCUGUGCGACUUUUUGCAGGUACCAGUGCCGAUGGCACCAGCGACGGUAGGCGGUGCUCCACCAGAGCCGGUGGCGUUUCCGCCCAACUCCACUGGUAGUGACAUUCUUCUCUUCGUUCACCAGGGCUUUAAGAAGAGCACCGCUGUCGUGUGGCUUCUUUUCCUGGUUGUGGUGGCACUCGCGCUGCUACUGCUCAGCUCCUUUACCGAGGAGUAUACGCAGUUUUACCGCGACUACCGCGACUACGUUCACCGCGACUUGGAGCCGUACAUGGACGCUGAGAAGGUUCGUGAAGGCGACGAGUCUGCCUUGACGAUACGCCAGGCACUGGUCAUGGCGAAGAAGUCGUCGAAGCGAUUUGGCGAAGAAUACGAGAGGGAGGGCGGUGCCAUGGGCUCCAUGUCCGGCUUGAUGGAGCGCAUCGUCGGAUCGAAGUAAACGGCGCGCGUCUCUCUCUCUGACGGUGAGCGAUGUGUGUUUUGAACCCCUGCGCGUCGCACCCUGGCUCUUUCUGAUUCACAGACGUAGCCCCCCUCUCCACUCUCUCUUAGAUAAUGAGCUGGAGUGCAUGCACGCGCUCAGUGCUCCGCUUAGCGUGGUGCGCCAGAGCGGGGAAAC